rnacentral:tRNA from 1 species
CGGGGUGUGGCGCAGUCCGGUAGCGCGCACGGUUUGGGUCCGUGAGGUCCCCGGUUCGAGUCCGGGCACCCCGACUA